AGAUUGCAGCAUAGUUGAGGAGGGGAGGCUGCCAAUAGAAGAAGGAUUUGUUAGAACACAGGCCAAACAAGAAGGCUCAUAGUUUCUCAAGAGUAUGAGCAUUCAUCCUAUUAUAGAUCAAGGAUUGCCGGUGCCCAUGAGCAUUAAUACAAAAAGAAAUAUUAAGUAGUUUUGGAAAAAUAUAAAGAAAAUAAAUGUAUGUUUUAAUAUGUUUUUUUGAGUCCUACUAAAAAAAUGAUACAAUGAGUAAAACAUAUGAUCAGUUUUAUAGUUUUUUUUUUAAUUGGAUCAAAAUCUAUGUACGUCUCACACAUUUAAAAAGAAUGAAGUGAUAUAUUUAGGGGAUAGUCUUAGGUGAAAUCUCAACAAUUGAAUUAACUCAAAUGGAUAUCAACCGUAGAUAGUGGGAGAUAAUUUUUAGAUUCAAAAUAAGUUGUGUUUUAUAUUAUAAAUGAGGUGGAGAGAAAAUGAGUGUUUUAAUUUAAUUUUUUUGUAGGUUCCACUAAAAAAUUAUUCAAUGAGUAAAACAUAUGUCCAAUUUUAAAGAUUUUUUGACCAUUGGAUCAUAACUUAUGUGGGGCUCACAUAUUUGAAAAGAAUGAAGUAAUAGUUUUGAAAAAAAAAUAGUAUCAGGUGAAAUCUCAGCCGUUGGAUUAAUUUUAAUGGAUAUUAAUCGUAGAUAGCGGGAGAUAGUUUUGAGAAGUUAGGUUUUAUAGUAUAGAAGUUAGUUUUGAAGAUUUAAAAACAUGUGUGUCUUAUUUUUUAUCUUUUAUUGUCCUUAGGUAUGUGGUGUUAGUUACGGAUUAUUGUAGUUAAUUACGAAUAUUUGUGGUUAAUUACGAAAGUGUGUUAUGGUGGUUACGAAUUAUUGUAGCUACUAGUUAUGAAGUGUUUGGAGAUAGUUAUAAAUUAGUAGGACUUGUUAUGUAAUUGUAUAAUGUUAGUUACAAAUCAUCAAAAAUUUAGUGGAUAAUUACAAAAGUUUGUGAAUGUAGUUACGAAUUAUUGCAACUAGUUACGAAAGUAUUUAAUGUUACGAAUUAUUGUUGAUAGUUAUGAAUUUUUGUGUUUGUAUGAAAUUGUAUAAUUUUAGUUAUAAAAUAUUGUGCCUAGUUACAAAGUGUUUGGUAGUAAUUAUUAUUUUUUAGUAUAGUUACGAAUUAUUGUAGAUAGUUAUAAAAAUGUGCGGAGUUAGCGUAAUAACCAAUCAUAGUAAGCUUAAUAAAAUGUUUAUAAUUAUAACACAGCAUCUUCUAAAUUUUACGCAAAACGUGUGUGAGAGCGAUACAUACAAAAUCUAUUUCGUAAUGCGCCUAAAAGUUAAUUUUUUUUUUUAAAAUUUGCUAUUAAAAAGUCUAAAACUUUUUUAAUUUUUUUAAUUUUUCUAAUUUACUUUAGUUAAAAAUAAUAAAAAAAUUAAAACUCUAACUAACUUUUUUAGUUGUAAGUUUAAGAAAAACCAUCCGAAAAGCUAGAGGCACAAUGUUAGAUAUCAUGUAUAUAUGCCGGUUUGUUGACUCCGAUUCUCUGUCGGUCGUUUUUUUGGGGGAAACGUGUAGCAUUUCAAUUAUUGGUGGGCUCAACAUGGAGAAAUAUAAUAUCAUUAGCGUGAGUCAGGCCAGGAUGGAUGCAUCAUGCAGUGGUGGCCAACCUAGGGGUGUCAAAAAAAUAUUUGAAAACCGGUGAACCAGAUCCAAAUGAAUCGAAUCGAACUGUACUGUAUUUUUUGGAUUGAUUCUAUGAUUUAAUAGUUAGGUUUUGAUUUUUAAAAAUUAAGAACCGGUAAAUUUGAUUCGGUUACCGAAUUUUUACCGGUUAUAUCGAAUCAAAUUUACCAGUUCUUAAUUUUUAAAAACCAGAACCUAACCAUUAAAUUAUAGAAUCAAUCCAAAAAACAUGAUUCGAUUCGAUUCAGCUCGAUCUGGUUCACCGAUUUUUAAAUUUUUUUUAACACCCCUAUAUACUAGUAAUAGCCGUGUCCAACCGAUAAAGCGAUUGAUUUUGAUUUGAUUCAUAAAAAAAAACUUAUAAUGGUUAAGUUUUAGUCUUAUUUUUUCAGAACUGUAAAAAUAAAUAAUAUGAAUUCGUAUGGAACCGGCACUCAUCAAACCGUUGACACCCUUAAUUAAUCGCGUGAUGGCUGGGUACCAGCAUGUUAAAAAUUCGAUAGGGCGGUGAUAGAUCAAGCCAGACAACUGUUUUGGGAUAUAGAUCACGAUAUAGAUUCGUCUCGUACAAAAUUAAAAUAUUCCAUUCAUCCCUAAUUGCAAUGGCGUACCCAAUAUAAGAGGGAAAUUUUUUCACUCACGGUAAAGAUCCAUGAAUAUAAUCCAUAUGUAAUUUGGCUUUCUAUAAUUCUGUUUCGAUUCAUUGAAAAUAAAAGAGGUCGAGAAACUUAUAAAAUGGACCAUAUUUCAAUAAGAACACUAGCAAAAAAAAAAACUUUUUUAUUGCUUACUUUUAUUUAAUUUAUUUUCGUGAAAUUUAAAAAAAAUCAAUU
rnacentral:lncRNA from 1 species